rnacentral:rRNA from 1 species
GUGCGAACAGGUGAGGAAACCCGAGAGCUAAGUUUUGGGGCGGGGCUGGAGUCGUAUUAGGUCGAAGGUGGUAUAAAAGACCACCUUGCCCAGGAUGCGUGGCUUUAAACUGGAAGCCAUCUUUUCACUGAAGCAAAGGGAGGGCUCAAAAAGGGAGCGAAAAGCUCCUGAGGCAGCAGUAUAUAACUUUAUGCAAUGUACGAAAGUGCGACAUAGAAGGGGCGUAUAACUUAAUCUGUCUAAUUAAGUGCCAGCAGACGCGGUGAAACUUAAGGAUUAGUAUUAUAGGAAAAAGCGUAAAGGGUGUGAGGGGCUUAUCCCAACAAGAGGGUAAAUGGAAUUUUUCUGUAGGGGUAGAAUGUGUAGAUAGAAAAAAGAACUCUAAACGCGAAGGCAAUUUAUCUCAUGGGAGGUACGCCAACUGCUCCGUUGUUACACGAAAGUAUGGGGAGCAAACAGGAUUAGAGACCCUGGUAGUCUAUAUUGUAAAUAAUGAAGAAGAUGUGAGGCAAUCCUAAAGGGUAAUAAAUUUUUCGCUUGAGUAGUAUGAUCGCAAGAUUUAAAUUCAAAAAACUUGGCUGCCCACUGCUAUGAUCAGAGGAGCGUGUCGUUUAAUUCGAUAGUCCGCGAGAGACCUUACCCAAACUUGAAUUCGCCCUUUAACAGGUAUUGCAUGGCCGUCGUCAAUUUGUGUAUUAAAUGUAAAACGGAUUCAACCCAGUGGUUGGCAGCCCCUCGUCUUCGGAGCGGUGCCAUUAUUGGAUGAAGUCAGGUCUUAUUGUCCUAAUGUUUGGGGAUUAGAUGCGCUACAUUUUCUUAUACAAUGGGAGAUUUUGAAGGUGGAACCCUAAAGUAAGAGUUCGGGAGGUGGCUGGAAGAUAACUGAAAGUUGGAUUUGAUAGUAAUUAGAAAGUAGAGCGUUCUGGUGAAAUUGAUGCAGUGUUAGUACAAAUAGCCCGUCGCCUUGGUCAAGAAUGGGUACUCAAAUGC